AACCCCCUGGCACAGUGGUUUGAGUGUUGGACUACAACUCUGGAGACCAGGGUUCGAUUCCCAGCUGAGCCA